UGGAUAGGGAAUAUAAUCACUUGGUUCAAAAUUCAAAAGAUUAAAAAGAGAUAUGUAGUGAAUUCUUCUUCGUAUUCCUCCUCCUACCUCUGAGUCACCCAAUUUUCUACUCUUCAGACAAUCUGUGUUAACAGUUUCUUGUAUGUUCUUCUAAAGGUGUCUUUCGUAUAUGGAAAUUAAAAAUACAUAUCCUUCCUGCCCCUGCCUUUGGUAGCACAAGACAUACGUUCUUUCUCACCUUGUUUUUUAUUUGUUUUUUUCCCCUAUGGAUUAGCAUUCUUUAUACAACUGUGUGAAUCCACCAAAUGAUGUCUACAUCCAUAUGUGCUGCUGUAACAAAAUAACUGAGACUGAGUAUCAAGAUCAGAAGUUUAUUACUGUUCUGGGGGUUGGGAAGUCCAGGAUCUAGGUGCUGGCUGGUUUGAUGUCUGAUAUACCUGGUGUUGGUGAGCAAGGACCGUUUGUACAUGUGAUAUUGAUGGUGCCAAACCAAAACAGUGACUGGAUAUGAUGAGAAAAGAUGUUAAGAACAAAAGCCUGAUUUUGAAGAGGAAAAGAAAAGCCAGUCAGAUUCAAUGAAGAUGCAAAAUCUGCUGCAACAAAAUUCUUUUACAAAAUAUAAAUUUAUUACGAAAACCUAAAAGGAUCAUCUGAGAAAGCAUACCUGUGGCUGUCUAACCCUGAACUGUUCAGUAUGGUAGUUACGAGCAUAUAUGGCAGGAAAAGAAUCAGUGGGUGGUUAAGUUUCUGACCAUGGCUGAUUUUAGAAUUUGGGUAAGGAAAGACAUAUGAAAAAUCUGUAUGUCUUUUUUUUUUUUUUUUUUUUUUUGAGACAGAGUCUCACUAUGUUGUUCUUGUAGAGUGCAGUGGCGUCACAGCUCACAGCAACCUCAAACUCUUGGGCUUAAGCGAUAUUCUUGCCACAGCCUUCUAAGUAGCUGGGACUACAGGUGCUUGCCACACGCUUGGCUAUUUUUUUGUUGCAGUUGUCAUUGUCGUUUAGCUGGCCUGGGCCAGGUUCAAACCCGCCAGCCUGGGUAUAUGUGGCUGGCACCAUAACCUUUGUGUUACGGGUGCCGAGCCAAGUCUAUAUAUCUUAAUCAAAAAUGUGUGUGUGUACUUUUUUUUUUUUUUUUUGAGACAGUGUCUUGCUUAGCCUCCCAGGCUAGUGCAGUAGUGUCGUCAUAACUUACUGCAACCUCAGACUCCUGGCUUCAAGUGAUCUUCCUGCUUCGAUCUCCCAUAUAACUGGGACAAUAGACUCAUGCCACUACAUCCAGCUAAUUUUUUUUUUUUUUUAGUAGAAAUGUGGUCUUGCUCUUACUCAGGCCAGCCUUGAACUCCUGACCUCAAGGGAUCCUCCUGCCUUGGCUUCCCAGAGUGCUAGGA